rnacentral:rRNA from 1 species
AACGUAGGAUGCGAGCGUUAUCCGGAGUUACUGGGCGUAAAGCGUCCGUAGGCGGUGUGGUAAGUUGGUCGUGAAAGCGCCGUGCUAAACGCGGCGAGGACGACUCAGACUGCUAGACUAGAGCGGCUCAGAGGCGCGUGGAAUUCGGGGUGUAGCGGUGAAAUGUGUAGAGAUCCCGAGGAACACCAGUGGGGCAACCGGCGCGCUGGGAGCAGGCUGACGAUGAGGCACGAAAGAGUGGGGAGCAAACGGG